rnacentral:rRNA from 1 species
UACGGAGGGUGCAAGCGUUAUCCGGAUUCACUGGGUUUAAAGGGUGCGUAGGUGGCAGGUAAGUCAGUGGUGAAAUCUCCGGGCUUAACUCGGAAACUGCCAUUGAUACUAUCUGUCUUGAAUACCGUGGAGGUUAGCGGAAUAUGUCAUGUAGCGGUGAAAUGCUUAGAUAUGACAUAGAACACCAAUUGCGAAGGCAGCUGGCUACACGAAUAUUGACACUGAUGCACGAAAGCGUGGGAUCAAACAGGA